UCCCAUGUGGACUUGUUAUUAGGACUCCUGGCUUUCACCCACGCGGCCCGGGUUCGAUUCCCGGCAUGGGAA
rfam:Angiostrongylus costaricensis strain Costa Rica genome assembly, scaffold: ACOC_scaffold0002286